GUCGGGGCGAAGCGCCAGGUCGUGUUUCGGCUGGAACGCAGCGGUGGGAGUGGUCGACAUUUAUGCAGCAGCAGCAGCGGCAGCAUGCAACGCGUACGUCUGGGUUGCUGACGUGCGCGGAAUCACGUUGCCGACUCGGCGGGAAUGAAUGGCGCGCAGAAAGGGGACGGCGCCGCUCUUGCGCGAGCACGUUCCCGGCCGCUCGAGAGAUGGUGACAUGUUUUCCGCAGGACGGCUGAAAACUCUGACUGGCCUUGUGUGUGACUGAGGUGGUAAGACGGUCUGCAAGAGGAAAUAAACAGCGCCACAAAGUCCUCGCCAAGGAAGAGCAAAAUAAACGAUCUUUAACUGCUGCGAAGAUGAAAGUUGGCUAUGAAGACAAAAAGAAAAAGAAUGGUACGGGCAGACGAACCGCUCUUCUAGAAUUUUUUCCACCAUAAAUAUCUCCAAUGGAAGAAAUGGUAAAGCGGGAAAACAGA